UAUUAUGUUAUAUUUAUUUGUUGACUCUAAAGGUUCUAUACUCACCUUUAGAGUCAACAAAUAAAUACAACAUUUU
rnacentral:pre_miRNA from 1 species